rnacentral:rRNA from 1 species
UACGGGGGGGGCAAGCGUUGUUCGGAAUUACUGGGCGUAAAGGGCGCGUAGGCGGCCAUUCAAGUGACGGGUGAAAGCCCUCGGCUUAACCGAGGAACUGCCUGUCAGACUGGAUGGCUUGAGACCGGGAGAGGUGAGUGGAAUUCCCAGUGUAGCGGUGAAAUGCGUAGAUAUUGGGAGGAACACCAGUGGCGAAGGCGGCUCACUGGACCGGAACUGGACGCUGAGGCGCGAAAGCGUGGG